GGAGCAAUGUGGUUUAAUUCGAAGCAACGCGAAGAACCUUACCAGGGCUUGACAUCCCUUGAAUCGGGAGGAAACUUCCGAGUCCUUCGGGACAAGGAGACAGGUGGUGCAUGGUUGUCGUCAGCUCGUGUCGUGAGAUGUUGGGUUAAGUCCCGCAACGAGCGCAACCCUUGCUGUUAGUUGCCAGCGCGUAGAGGCGGGCACUCUAAUGGGACUGCCGGCGACAAGUCGGAGGAAGGUGGGGACGACGUCAAAUCAUCAUGCCCCUUAUGACCUGGGCUACACACGUGCUACAAUGGUUGGUACAACGAGUUGCGAGUCGGUGACGGCGAGCUAAUCUCUUAAAGCCAAUCUCAGUUCGGAUUGUAGGCUGCAACUCGCCUACAUGAAGUCGGAAUCGCUAGUAAUCGCGGAUCAGCACGCCGCGGUGAAUACGUUCCCGGGCCUU
rnacentral:rRNA from 1 species